rnacentral:rRNA from 1 species
CAGCCGCCGCGGUAAUACGGAGGGGGCUAGCGUUGUUCGGAAUUACUGGGCGUAAAGCGCACGUAGGCGGCUGUGUAAGUCAGAGGUGAGAGCCCGGGGCUCAACCCCGGAAUAGCCUUUGAGACUGCAUAGCUUGAACACGGGAGAGGUGAGUGGAAUUCCGAGUGUAGAGGUGAAAUUCGUAGAUAUUCGGAAGAGCACCAGUGGCGAAGGCGGCUCACUGGGCCGAUAUUGACGCUGAGGAGCGAAAGCGUGGGGAGCGAACAGGAUUAGAUACCCCAGUAGUCCCUGUCUCUUAUAC